AGAGUUUGAUCAUGGCUCAGGAUGAACGCUGGCGGCGUGCCUAACACAUGCAAGUCGAACGAGAACCCUUUCUUCGGAUUGGGGGACAGUGGCGAACGGGUGAGUAACACGUUGGUGACCUGCCCCGGAGACGGGAACAACCCUUCGAAAGAGGGGCUAAUGCCCGAUGUGCUUGCGUCUCUUAGAAGGACACAAGUAAAGCUCCGGCGCUUCGGGAGGGGCCAGCGGCCUAUCAGCUAGUUGGUGAGGUAACGGCUCACCAAGGCUAAGACGGGUAGGGGGCGUGAGAGCGCGAUCCCCCACAAUGGAACUGAGACACGGUCCAUACUCCUCCGGGAGGCAGCAGUGAGGAAUCUUGCACAAUGGGGGCAACCCUGAUGCAGCAACGCCGCGUGGGUGAUGAAGGCUUUCGAGUCGUAAAACCCUUUUCUGGGGGAAGAGAAAGGNCG
rnacentral:rRNA from 1 species